UGGCACAUUUUUCAUUUUCAAGACCCCACGUCCUCCAUAUAUGCUUUCCUGGCCCACCCAUUUCCCUCCUCCCCUUACACAGAUGGAGAACUUCCUUUCUGGUGUUCUCUCAGCACUCAGCACAGAUUGCUAGUGCUUUUAUGUGCUGAGCCUUUCCCUUCAACCUAGACUGAAAGAGGAUGGCAAUCUCGCUGAAGCUGUUUCUUUUUCUUCACAACAUAUAGGAAAAUGUUGCCCCUUUUUGGAGUGGUGCAUAGGGCGAUGACUAUAGAUUUUCAUCCGUAACUCCCAACACCCUACUCAGGUUUUCAUCACUAUGCAGAUGUCUUGACAAAUAAGUUUCACUUCAUCUGUCAUUUCUGACUUCACUGGGAUAAUCAGGCCUCAUCCAGUCUUGGCAUGAAUGAGUGUGGUGAUUGAUUUGUAAUGCCUGCCUGGGAAAAGAAGUCAGGAGUGCGAAUAAGAACGAAAGUAACAACCUCCACCGUCACUACUUAAACCAGUCUUGAACGAAUGUCAGGUCCUUGGGAAACUCUCCAAUCUUAUCUCCUGUCCUGGCCAGGUGUGCUCCAGGUGAACCAUUUGGCUAAGUCGAUUUGAACUAUUUGGGAGACCUUGGUACCUAUGAUUCCUUCUUCUUGGAAGAUCCUUUCUGUUUUGUCAGCUCCUACUUCCGUGUUGUGGAAAACCGAUCUAACCUCCUAGUCCUGAAUCAGGUAUUGCUCCUCAGCACUGCAAACCCUUUGGCUUCAGGUGUUACUCAUUCCACUGCAUCAGGGGGCCAUAAAGGGAAUUGAUGAGGACAACUGGCCUCCCAAUAUGUGGAUUCAGUUUCUGUAUGUCAAUUUACCAACUCCCACUGGUAGUCUGAAGAGAUAUGGCUACUGGAGAACAGAAAAUCACCAUUAUUCAUAAAAAGCAAUUUUAAGUGUUUAUCUUUUUGUAUUUGAAUAGCUUUGUUAAAGAGACGUACUCAAGAAUACUAUGAAGAGACUCUUAUUAUACUCCUUACCUGGAGAUAAUUGUGAUGCCAGAAAUUCAAAUUUAUAUUUAACAAUAUGGUUUUUCAACUUUGAAUAUUAUAAACAUCUAGGCAGUAUUUAUUGUUUGCACAUUUGCCAUCCGCUAAAAUGAGAUUAUUCUAAGCAUAAAUUAUACUCUUCAUCAUUCAAGAUUAUAAACAUUUAUAAUAAUCAUACUAUUCACGGACAUUUCCCUGCUCUCAAAUCACUAGAGCUAAUAGACAAAGUAGAUACAGCUACAAACAGUGGGAGCAAAUGUUUCUGGCUGACCUACAAAUAGCUAUGCAAUAAUGUAGAGAGGAAAAUAUAGUCUCACUUAUAGUGUCUGAAAUUGAGUUUCCUCUUUAAAGGACAAAGUAAUUUUCAAAAAUAUUUGAAUAUUAUUCUGUGUAAAAAAGUCUCUGUUUUAACCGGCUGAUUGAAUUGUAUUUCUUUAUUGUGUUUCUAUUCACUUUUCCAUUUGUGGGUGGAAUUUAUUAUAAUUACCAAUUAUAUACUGAAUGAAACAAAAAUCUCAUAGAUUUAUUUUAAUAAAACUUUAAAUUCCUUGUCAUUACUAAUAAAAUGUAUAUGCUUUCUCUAAUAAGGCCAUACUUUAUUGUUUAAAACUUGUUUUUCCUCUUUGCUCAAGCACAUGGAUUGUUAAUUUAAAUUCUAAAAUAAAACCAAUUAAUCCAUAAACAUGGACUGUGGGUAAUGUUGAUAUUACGUGUAAAUUUCUCAGUGGUAUUUCGUGGACCCAAUAGCAUCAGCAUUAGCUGGGGACUUAUGAGGUGGCAUGUGCCUGUAGUCCCAGCUACUCAGGAGGCUGAGGCAGGAGAAUCGCUUGAACCUGGGAGGUGGAGGUUGGAGUGACCGAGAUCG